ACAUGAUCACGGCUCAGCCUUUAGCUGACUCUGAAGCGAGCCAGAGAUCCACCUCAUCCUUCCAACAGAUUCACAGAAGAACACAACACUUCACUUCAACAAAGCUUCCUCAAAGUGCUCCAAUGGAAUGCAAGCUGGGAAGAUGAAAGCAAGUGGACAGGUGACGAAGUGAAGGCUACUGAGCGGCAUUUGUAUCCUUAACAAGCUGCAGAGUACCAGGUAAAAAGGACUGUGACUCCUGUCUCAAGGCAGAGCCAGUUGCUCUGAAAGACAGGGACUGGGUUGCCAUCAAAUAUUACAUUCACAACAGAAUCAUGGCAUUAAAAAGGAAGAUGAAUACAUAGGACUAGAACAUGCCAACUUGGUCUGAGGUACAAUUUUACUUUAAAAUAAUAGUUGUUUCUUCAUUCCCU